rnacentral:rRNA from 1 species
GACGAACGCUGGCGGCGUGCUUAACACAUGCAAGUCGAACGCUGAAGCUUGGUGCUUGCACUGGGUGGAUGAGUGGCGAACGGGUGAGUAAUACGUGAGUAACCUGCCCUUGACUCUGGGAUAAGCCUGGGAAACUGGGUCUAAUACUGGAUAUGACAUGCCACUGCAUGGUGGUGUGUGGAAAGGGUUUUACUGGUUUUGGAUGGGCUCACGGCCGAUCAGCUUGUUGGUGGGGUAAUGGCCUACCAAGGCGACGACGGGUAGCCGGCCUGGGAGGGUGACCGGCCACACUGGGACUGAGACACGGCCCAGACUCCUACGGGAGGCAGCAGUGGGGAAUAUUGCACAAUGGGCGGAAGCCUGAUGCAGCGACGCCGCGUGAGGGAUGACGGCCUUCGGGUUGUAAACCUCUUUCAGCACGGAAGAAGCGAGAGUGACGGUACGUGCAGAAGAAGCGCCGGCUAACUACGUG